CAGGAACCCGGUGCGAUUCCGGGGCGGUCCCGCCACUGUGACCGGGGAGCGACCCCGGCCGACGACCGCUGUGCAGCGGCCCAAGGCCCGGGGAAGCGCCGAUCCGGGAGUCAGAACACUG
rnacentral:ncRNA from 2 species